AGCUGGAGUCCUGGCUCACCCACUACCCCAGGAGGCUGUUGUGGGUCUGGAAGCAGCAGCAGCAGGGGGAACGGGAGAAGCAGCCAUGGAGAGCGUGUAAUGGGAGGCCGUGACAGACAAAUAUCAAGAGAUGCUGGGAGUGAUGCAGCAGUGACAGCUGCCCUGCCCUGCCCUGCCCUGCCCUGCCCUGCCCUGCCCUGCCGCUUAGGACCAUAGGAGGAUCCCGGCAAGGAAGUCUAGUUCCACUGGCUCCGCUCUGCCAACUCAAAGGAAUUCUGUUCUCUAGACCUCAGUUUCCUCACGCAGUAAACACGUUAAUUCUGUGUGGCCUGGAGCUGAGACGUGAGGACCUAAGCUGUGGAGAAAAUGAAGGGAGGCGGCAGAUGACCUCCAGGGGUCCCCUAGAUUAUCCCCACCGAGACAGACCAUGAUGGGCUGUGUCCGGAGGUGUGACAAAGGUGUGCCUACAUGACGAUCAGGUAUGUAGUGUCCUCGUGCCAGGAUACAAAGCCAGACUCGGGCCACCUGUCAAAUCCAACCAGAAACUGGACAAGAUAUAAGAAACAGGCAUGACAGUGGGUGCCACAGACAGUGACCUGGUGACUUUUGGCCUCUGCUCAGAGACAACCCUUUGUCUGGUGCUCAGGAAAGGGAAACCAGAACAGGUGAAGAGACAGUGGUGACACACAGAAACAGAAGCAGCGAUGACAAUUCAACAGGACACAGAAAGCAUGAGAGAGGAACCAGCUGCACUCACACACGUGUCCACAGAAGUGAACUGACAUGCGUGUUUGAAGACUGGAAGGGAGCGUCCGCCAAGCGAGUGUCUGAAGAUAGAUGGCCAGGCUGUGGCUCAGUGCUGGGGUGCUGGACUACCGUGUGCAAAGCCCCUGGGGUUCAGUUCUUGGCACCACACACAAACCCCGAAACAAGCUAGGCACUGUGGUGCACUUGGGAGUAGAGACAGGUGGAUCCCUGAGAGUCUGAGGCCAGCCUGGUCUACAGAGUGAGCUUCAGGCCAGCCUGGUCUACAGAGUGAGCUUUAGGCUAGCCAGGGCUACUACAUAGUGAGACCCUGUCUCAAAAAACAAAACAAAUAUCUAGAAUAGAUAUGGCUCCAAGGCAAAGAUUCUGUGCUCCUCUUGCAGAGGACCAGGGUUCAGGUCCCCCACCCCCUCACGUGGCAGCCAACAACAAUCUGUUACAGAUCUGAUGCCCUCUUCUGAACUUGGAGGGUUCUCACAUGUGCGUGGUGCCCAUGUAGACACAUAUGCAUGCUUAUAAAAGUAAAGAAAUAAUUUAAAAACUA
ensembl:lncRNA